ensembl:miRNA
UCCUUCAUUCCACCGGAGUCUGUGUCAUGAACCAUUCAGAUUUCAGUGGUGUGAAGAGUA